rnacentral:rRNA from 1 species
UGGCUCAGGACGAACGCUGGCGGCGUGCCUAACACAUGCAAGUCGAACGGAGUUGCUGAGGAUUCGAUUGAAGCAACUUAGUGGCGGACGGGUGAGUAACGCGUGAGCAACCUGCCGAUGAGAGGGGGAUAACGUUCUGAAAAGAACGCUAAUACCGCAUAACGUAUCAAAGCCGCAUGACUUUGAUACCAAAGGAGCAAUCCGCUCAUUGAUGGACUCGCGUCCGAUUAGCUAGUUGGCGGGAUAACAGCCCACCAAGGCGACGAUCGGUAGCCGGACUGAGAGGUUGAUCGGCCACAGUUGGGACUGAGACACGGCCCAGACUCCUACGGGAGGCAGCAGGUGGGGGAUAUUGCGCAAGUACGGGGGAAACCUGACGCAGCAACGCCGCGUGAAGGACGAAGGUCUUCGGAUUGUAAACUUCUUUUGUUAAGGACGAAAACAAUGACGGUACUUAACGAAUAAGCUCCGGCUAACUACGUGCCAGCCGCCGC